rnacentral:lncRNA from 1 species
ACCCAUCUUUCCCCCUCCCUCCCUUACAGCAGCUCUUGGUAGUCAGUCAGAGAUUAAAGAAUUCAUGCCCACUAAUAGAAAUCAUCUGUGCGGAUCGACUGUUUUUCAGGCAGACGCUGUCCCUGUGGAUGCAGUACUCUGAACCUUGAUCAAAUGGGCCAAAACUAAGCUGAUCCCUCUAUUCAUUAAUGGCCUCCUUGAAGUUGGCAGGAUGCCCUGAAGACCUUGACUUCAGCGUGUAUUUUCAGGACUGAGAGAGCUUGAAAAAGAAAUGGAGUUUCUCUCCCCUGGAGGCUUGACUGCUGUGAGAGGUUCCUCCAGCUGGACUGAGUGAACCGCUUUGAACUCAGUUCAUCACAGGGAAGGUGCUACCCCUAUAUGUAUAGCUCCUGAAUGCUCAGUUAUAAUUAUUAUUUUCUUUAAGGAAGUCAUGAUUAAUAGUUCUUAGGUGUGGAUGACUGCCAAUGGCACCUUCUAUGGGAUGAUUUCUCUGCCCAUGAAGACGAAAGYGUGGGCCUUCAGCAGCAAUGCAGGACCUUCCUCUAAAAAUUUUGCCUCAAAGGAAUGGCAGCUUGUGGCCCAUGGCUAUGAAGGCUGUUACGAAGAUCAUCAUGAGGACAGUACAUGGAGUAAAUGCUGAGGUAACGUCAGACAUCAGGGCUUACAUAAUAUUCUUCAGAAUACUCAUUAAUCAGCUCUUCUUGUGGGACUUCUCCAGCUUCAGUCCUGAUGUAUGAAUUUUUCCUUGGGGUUUGCAGCUGUGUUUUUGCUGUUCUCUCUCUCCUGUGAAACACCUCUGUAAUGAUCAUUUGCUCAUCACUGGAGACAUGCUUCUUGGGAAACUAUAAGGUAGAAACUUUGGGAUUUUCUGUGUGUCCUGGUAGAUAAGCCUGGGUUAACUCUUUCUUUCCAGACACAGGCCAUCCAAAGCUCUGAUUAGUCAUACUGCUGUAUUUAAGCUUUACACAAUGGAAAGGAGUAAACUGAUAUUUCAUCUACAUUUCAUUGUUUCUAUGGCAUGUAACCACUUUCUUUAUCAUAUACUUUCCUCUAGUUCAGAGUAGGUAAUGCUCCAUGGAGGUGAGCAGCUGCUGGGAGACACACUCAUGAGGGAUGGGAAAGCCUUUGGAGCCAGCAGAGCCCAGCACCAUCUCCAAGGAGUAGGGUCCAGCCGCAAUCCCUGUUGGAUAAAUCUCUCCAAACUGAGCUGCUCUGGGUACAUGUCCAGCUGGAAGCUUGUAUGAUAUGGUAUGGUGAGUGAUACUGUAACAGAGAGGCUGACAGAGUUGUGUCAGCUCUUGCAUAAAUAUGCAUGACCUUUCUCUCUGUCCUACCCCACUGGAUUUUCUAGUACAACUAAUUGCAAUGGCAAGAUCCAGUCCUUUAGCUGCCAGGAUGCUGCAAUGCACUGAAGUACAGGGAGGAUGGAGGAGUCCAUGGCUGUGUGCUUUGCUGCUACGCUCCCCCAGGCAAAAACACUGAUGUGCUCCAGGAGCAGCUUGGUCCCCACCUGGCCAGGGAGCAGGGCAGGGCUCUGCAGCAAGUUUGUUGCUGCUGGCUGGAAAUGGCCCUGCUCAGUGUGAAGGUCAGUGAUAUAUUCUCCUGCGGCUUGGUAUCAGUCAAGUCACAGCCUCACCGGUGUCAGAUCUGCAAUGAAAGAUAUUCUCCUUUGCCUUCUCCUCCUUCUCCCCGGGUUUAAUUCUUUGAAAACUGUAGCUGGUUUUCA